UACGGGGGGGGGUAAGCGUUGUUCGGAAUUACUGGGCGUAAAGGGCUCGUAGGCGGCCAACUAAGUCAGACGUGAAAUCCCUCAGCUUAACUGGGGAACUGCGUCUGAUACUGGAUGGCUUGGAUCCGGGAGAGGGAUGCGGAAUUCCAGGUGUAGCGGUGAAAUGCGUAGAUAUCUGGAGGAACACCGGUGGCGAAGGCGGCAUCCUGGACCGGUAUUGACGCUGAGGAGCGAAAGCCAGGGGAGCAAACGG
rnacentral:rRNA from 1 species